GAUCUCCUGGUGCUUACCAAAGGCUGUGUUCUUACAUUGACUGUAUAGAAAGAGAGGGGAAGAAAAUAUACCCCAUAUACAACUCAGUCCAGGCCCUGUGCCUGGUCUGUAUUGUGAAUUGGGAAGACAUGG
rnacentral:snoRNA from 1 species